CUACACAUGAAGACAAUAUGGUAAUGAGGUCAUAAUGAGGUUUGACGUCAUGACAGUUGCUCCGCCUUGAUAGAUCCAUAUAAGGAAAUAGAGCUCAAAAAAGCCAUUUAAUGAUGAUUGCGAGAAUUUGUAAUGAAUGUCUGUAUUUUCAGGUUUAAAUAAAUAAACAUUAGUGAUUUUCUCUUAUAAAGUAACAACACGUCUUCGAAAUAAUUCCCUUUUUAUUAUGUCGUUUGGCUGCAUUCGGCGUCAGCCAAGCGCUUGCACUCGGUGACACGGAAUGUUGUUUACAUCUAAAAACGUGGCGACAGCAGCUGAGAUAUGCAGUGGAGAAAUGCAACAAUCAGGCAAUCUUUAAAGAGAAUAGGGAUAAAAUAAGAGACCUGGGCCUUGUUUAUCUUUUUGAUGAGAAGAUGAUGACGUUAUUUCGGGAAAUCAUGGAAAACUGAGACGAUCCGCACUACCUCCCUAGGUCCCUUUCUGUUUAUUAAGGUGUCUGUCACAGAACUGGUUAAAACUGGCAUUUACAUCAGCUAGAACUAUCAAAAUAGAUGCAUCAAUUUCUCCACUGGCUACUCCCAAACAAUUUGAACAAUUCAUUCAGGCAGCAAGUGUUUCCACCAAUAAAAUGAAAAGAAUUGAUUUCAUCCAGAAGAACUGUUUGAACUGUGGACUGUUUGAAAUAUUUUGCACCUGCUCAGAAAUCCAUUCACAGCCUGCCUUUGAAUUUGAAAAGCUGUUUUUAAUUAAAUAAAUUUUCUAGAUAAAUAAUACUUUGAAUUUUUAACAGUACAAUGGUGUGAAAGUUUGAAGGCUGUUAAGAUUUGAAUAUCUUUACUUGAAUGUAUUCUGACAGGCGCGUAGCUACCU